GGAAUAUUGCACAAUGGGGGAAACCCUGAUGCAGCAACGCCGCGUGAGUGAAGAAGUCAUUCGUGAUGUAAAGCUCUAUCAGCAGGGAAGAAGAAAAUGACGGUACCUGACUAAGAAGCCCCGGCUAACUACGUGCCAGCAGCCGCGGUAAUACGUAGGGGGCAAGCGUUAUCCGGAUUUACUGGGUGUAAAGGGAGCGUAGGUGGCAGGGCAAGUCAGAUGUGAAAACCCGGGGCUCAACCCCGGGAGUGCAUUUGAAACUGUCCAGCUGGAGUGCAGGAGAGGUAAGCGGAAUUCCUAGUGUAGCGGUGAAAUGCAUAGAUAUUAGGAGGAACACCAGUGGCGAAGGCGGCUUACUGGACUGUAACUGACACUGAGGCUCGAAAGCGUGGGGAGCAAA
rnacentral:rRNA from 1 species